rnacentral:rRNA from 1 species
UGGAGCGUGUGGUUUAAUUCGAUGCUACACGAAGAACCUUACCAGGGUUUGACAUGCAAGUGGUAGGAAUCUGAAAAGUGACCGACCCUUCGGGGAGCUUGCACAGGUGCUGCAUGGCUGUCGUCAGCUCGUGUCGUGAGAUGUUCGGUUAAGUCCGCUAACGAGCGCAACCCUCACUGUGUGUUAUACGUGUCACACGGGACUGCCGGUUUUAAGCCGGAGGAAGGCGGGGAUGACGUCAAGUCAGCAUGGCCUUUAUAUCUUGGGCA